rnacentral:rRNA from 1 species
UACGAAGGGGGCUAGCGUUGUUCGGAAUCACUGGGCGUAAAGGGCGCGUAGGCGGCCGAUCAAGUCGGGGGUGAAAGCCUGUGGCUCAACCACAGAAUUGCCUCGAUACUGGUUGGCUUGAGACCGGAAGAGGUAAGUGGAACUGCGAGUGUAGAGGUGAAAUUCGUAGAUAUUCGCAAGAACACCAGUGGCGAAGGCGGCUUACUGGUCCGGUUCUGACGCUGAGGCGCGAAAGCGUGGGGAGCAAACAGGG